UACGUAGGGUGCGAGCGUUGUCCGGAAUUAUUGGGCGUAAAGCGCACGUAGGCGGUCUUUUAAGUCGGGGGUGAAAUCCUGGAGCUCAACUCCAGAACUGCCUUCGAUACUGGAAGACUUGAGUCCGGGAGAGGUGAGUGGAACUGCGAGUGUAGAGGUGAAAUUCGUAGAUAUUCGCAAGAACACCAGUGGCGAAGGCGGCUCACUGGCCCGGUACUGACGCUGAGGUGCGAAAGCGUGGGGAGCAAACAGG
rnacentral:rRNA from 1 species